GUCUUGGAAGCCAACAUCCUCAACACAUUUGGAGUGUUUUUUCACAAACUACAUGUGUUUCUUUUUUGAACGUCUGUGUUUCUCGUCAGCCAGUCAACCUAUUUUUUCCCUUCUUUUAAUACUUUAGGCUGAGUGCGGGCUGAUGAGAAACAUUCCCCCAACGGCUCUGAAGCUCCAACAUCUUUUCUUGUUUACCGUGAUGGACGUUACCGUCUGAUCGACAGUCCGACACUUCCUUAACUGUUGUCACCCGAACCAUAAAAUAUAUUAUACAAUACCAAAAUGCCUUACUGAAACUCGCUUGAGUGAUCGCGGAUGAUUUGAAUUUAAAAUCUUGAAUAGAAACUUACACCCACUUUACUAGACCUUUCUCUAUAUUUACUCUUAUCGAGUUUCGUCACGUCACUAUUUAUCAGUAGAGAGUUUAAUCGACUUCCGAUAUCAAUACCGAUACUAACAACAUGUCAUGCGCAUGCUCUCUGCUCGCAAGAAGCACGAGGACAAGUGUAUUGGAAGUCACCACUACCGAAGUCGGCCUUGUAUUGGAAGUCGGGGGAAUUGUAAGAUAAACUCAUAUAAAUCGGAUAUUUCAUAAUUUUUACGAUAAACAUGUAAACUAUUUGUUUAUUAGCAUCGCCCGAGUCAUGUUUUGGUCGGAAUUUUAGCUCAGCUGCCGUUUAGUA